rnacentral:rRNA from 1 species
CGGCUCACAUGCAAUCGAACGGUAACAGGAAGAAGCUUGCUCUUUGCUGACGAGUGGCGGACGGGUGAGUAAUGUCUGGGAAACUGCCGAUGGAGGGGGAUAACUACUGGAAACGGUAGCUAAUACCGCAUAACGUCCCAGGACCAAAGAGGGGGACCUUCGGGCCUCUUGCCAUCGGAUGUGCCCAGUCGGGAAGCCCUGUAUGUGGGGUGCUUCGUCUGCGCGACUAUAACUAGUGGGUCGGACAGGACGACCACCCACUGAGGACUAACAUCCUCCCACAACUCCACCGGAGGCACUGUGGGGCUAUUUUGAAUUGGGGGCCGGACCGAUGGCACCAUCGCACAUGGGUGAAAACGACUUCCUUUUUGUUCCACUUUUUUUCCACGAAGGAGGAGUAAAGUUAAGACCUUUCUUCUUGACGUUCCCCAAAGAAAAAACACCUGCCAACUCCCUUCCAGCCCCCGCGGUAAAAAGGAAGGUGCAACGUUUUAUCA